rnacentral:tRNA from 1 species
UGUCCGAGAGGCUGAAGGAGCACGCUUGGAAAGCGUGUGUGCCGUGUGAACGGUACCGUGGGUUCAAAUCCCAC